GACGAACCGUGCGAACGUUGUUCGGAUUCACUGGGCUUAAAGGGCGCGUAGGCGGCUUGCCAAGUCAGGGGUGAAAUCUUUCGGCUCAACCGGAAAACGGCUUCUGAUACUGGCAGGCUGGAGGGAGGUAGGGGCAGAUGGAACUUCCGGUGGAGCGGUGAAAUGCGUAGAUAUCGGAAGGAACGCCGGUGGCGAAAGCGAUCUGCUGGACCUCCUCUGACGCUGAGGCGCGAAAGCCAGGGGAGCAAACGGG
rnacentral:rRNA from 1 species